rnacentral:misc_RNA from 1 species
GAAAAAAAAAAGAACAUUUCAUAUAUCAAUUUUCCUGCAACUCAUAUUUCUUUUACCUAUUGUUCGUUCAAAUAACGAAAAAAAUGUGAAGUGAUUAGCAAGCAUGUUAGGUCUACUCCCUAUACUUUGGCUGAGUUAUAUGUUACUAUAUUUUUAAAAUACAGGCUUUCCUAAGCACGGCUAAUUUUAGAUUGGGGCAUAGCUGAUAGUAGAUUGAUUUAGU